rnacentral:lncRNA from 1 species
CGAGCUCCAAAUAAUAAGCAAGUAGUUAACACAGCAGGCUGCUGGAUUAGCAGUGGUGAAAGGAAAAUAAAUGCUAAGCCGAACAUAAUUGCCAUUGACUGCUUGCGGCCAACCCUAUCAACCAAUAUUGCUGACAGAAGAAGCCCAGGUAGCUCUGCAGCAUAAACGAAGUUUUUUUUUUUUAGAGAAAAAAAAGGGAAGAGCAUAAAGAAGGAAGUGAGAAUGAGACAUAAUACCUGCCAUACUGGUGAUGAAUGCAUUUAGGUAGAGACCAUCAUCCUGGGGAUUUAUAUUGCUUUGUAGAGAUGGGAAACAUGUACUUUGUCCACUACUUAGCUUAGAGGUAAGCAAUAUGAUACCAUAAUAUGAAAAUGAAUCUCCAAAGAAUAGUACCCAUAGGAGCAGCGUUGUUC